rnacentral:rRNA from 1 species
AUUGAACGCUGGCGGCAGGCCUAACACAUGCAAGUCGAACGAGUGGUGGACGGGUGAGAAAUGUCUGGGAAAUCGCCUGAUGGAGGGGGACAACUACUGGAAACUGUAGCUAAUACCCCCUACCAUUCGCUGUGCCGAGAGGGGAUGAGCUAGUAGGUGGGGUAAAGGCUCACCUAGGCAACGAUCCCUAGCUGGUCUGCGAGGAUGACCAGCCACACUGGAACUGAGACACGGUCCAGACUCCUAAGGGAGGCAGCAGUGGGGAAUAUUGCACAAUGGGCGCAAGCCUGAUGCAGCAAUGCCGCGUGUAUGAAGAAGGCUUUCGGGUUGUAAAGUACUUUCAGCGGGGAGGCGUUACCCGCAGAAGAAGCACCGGCUAACUCCGUGCCAGCAGCCGCGGUAAUAC